rnacentral:rRNA from 1 species
CACUGUGGCCAUACCACCUUUGCGAUGCCCAAUUCCGUCAGACCUUGGAAGCUAAGCAGGGUAGGGCCUGGUUAGUACUUGGAUGGGAGACCGUUCAGUAACACCAGGAAGCCUAGUGA